rnacentral:lncRNA from 1 species
UUUCCUUUUCUUUUUUUUUUUUUUUUUUUUGGUCUUUUGUCAUUUUUUAGGGCUGCACCCGUGGCACAUGGAGGUUCCUAGGCUAGGGGUUUAAUUGGAACUGCAGCUGCUGGCUUACGCCAGAGCCACAGCAACACAGGAUCAGAGCUGCGUCUGUGACUUACUCCAUAGCUCAUGGCAACACCGGAUCCUUAACCCACGAGCAAGGCCAGGGAUUGAACCCAUGUCCUCAGGGAUACUAGUUGGGUUUGUUAACCACUGAGCCACAGCGGGAACUCCAGAACUUAAUUUUCUUUUUUGUCUUUUUUUUUUUUUUUUUUUUGCUAUUUCUUGGGCCGCUCCCGCGGCAUAUGGAGGUUCCCAUGCCAGGGGUCGAACAGAGCUUUAGCCUCCGGCCUACGCCAGAGCCACAGCAACGCAGGAUCCGAGCCGCGUCUGCGACCUACACCACAGCUCAUGGCAACGCCAGAUCUUCAACCCACUGAGCAAGGGCAGGGACCGAACCCACAACCUCAUGGUUCCUAGUUGGAUUCGUUAACCACUGCGCCACAACGGGAACUCCAGAACUUAAUUUUCUUAAUGACUUUGCAUCUUUGGCCUGAAGCUAUCUUUUAUUUCCUGGGAAUAGGGCCUACAUUAAUUUCCCUAAUUUGUAAAAUAUUAUCACAGAGCUUUAGUGAAACCAACUAGAUAUUAACACACUAGUCUUUUGAUCCCCAGGAAUAUAGCUCUUGACCAUAAAAAAGGUGAUUAAUAUGAUAUCUCUUACUCCCUGUUUUCUGUGAUCUGGCUGGCCACCUUGGCUUUAAGGAGAAGACUGGACUUUACCUAGCAUUGCUGGGAAAGUUUAUUAGCUUUACCUUAAUUAAACCGGUGCCAUAUAGUAGAAGCAAGUGUAUCAUUGCCCCUUUGUUACUUUUGGCAAUCCUCCCGUUUCUCUUUUGUGAUAAAUUACACACCCUUUGGCCUCUGAUUAUCCACCAGGGAAACAGGUUAUUGCUUUGUGGAACAGAAGGGGAAGUAUAUUAUCGUUUAAUUUUCAACUGCAAGGGUUGGCAUAUAAUGUCAGGAACAAAUAAAUCUGAACAGUUACUCAUCAAUGUUUAAGCAAUUCUAGGCUUCUUUUAUUAGGACUUUAUGGAAGGCUGUCUGCAAAGGCUGACAUUCUGGUCUUGCUGGCAGAUGUCCAGUUUGUGAGGCCACAACUGGGUCUCUAGCCAUUGAAACGAAAAAGGUAUCUUUUCUCCCAGGGGUGAGGCAUUGCUAGGGCAGUGCUCACAGAAGGAGGCGUCCUAUAGAGUCUGACAAAGUGUUUUAAAGGAGAGUCCUCCAUUUAAAGCAAGGGUUUUACAUUCCAAAUUGUUGACAGUGAAUAUUUAUUUGGAGAAAGAUUUAGUGAAUGAUUAGAGUGUAGGGGUAGCUUCCAUUUUUAACACUGUAUAUACUCAUGUUGUUUGAAUUUUUAAAAAUAGUUGAUGCAAAUUACAUUAGUAAUAAAAUGAGCGUGAAUAAAACUAGUGGCUCUCAAAUGUUUUUAAUUUUACUUACUUAUUUGUUUGUUUAUUUAUUUAUUUAUUUAUUUUUGUUUUUUUCUAGGCCUGGGAACCUCCAUAUGCCCAUAUCCACCGGUUGUGGCCCUAAAAACAAACAAACAAACAAACAAACCCAAAAGUACAGUCUCACAAAUAGGGCUAUAGAGUCACAAGGAAGCUGUAUGUGUGGGCCUUGACCUGCAGCAACUGAAAGAUUCUGAUAGCCUGCAGGAAGUUGCCUCUUCUAGUGACUGAGAUACCUUUAGUUACAGUCCUGAAGUAACCCCUGGGAUUUUAUGAUACUAACUGGCUGUACGGCUUUGAACUUCUCACUCAACCUCUUUGGAUUUAGGUCCCUCGUGGGUAAGUGAGGGGAUAGGGCAAGGUGCUCUUUAAAUUCCCUCCCAAAUCAAAUGUUCUGUGUAUGGUUUUGCAAUGGAAAUAAAAGCAUAGUCAAUUUGGAUGUAUUUCACUAACUCACCAACACCUCUUCAUAAAAGUAUGAUCAGAGUUUCUGCAAUGAUAUAGUUAAUUUAUACUUUAGAAAUUCUGUUCUGUGAUUAUAAAAUGAAUUAAUGAACUGGAAAUGAACUAAUUAAUACAUCUAUUUCAAUGGGUUUUUUUCUAGCAUUUAACUUUUAGGAGAAAGAAGCAAAUCCAAAGAAGACAAUUUAUUAUAAAAACCAUUAUGCCAAAAUCUAUUGUCAGAGCCUAGCAAAUUCAGUUCUUGCUCUUAUAAUUUUCAGAUCUUUAAUUUUUUUUUCUUUUUUCUUUUUAUGGUCACACCUGCAGCAUAUGGAAGUUCCCAGGCUAAGGGUCAAAUCGGAGCUGUAGCUGCCAGCCUACACCACAGCUCAUAGCAACACUGGAUCCUUAACCCACUGAGGGAGGCCAGGGAUUGAACAUGAAUCCUCAUGGAUACUAGUUGGGUUUGUAACCCGCUAAGCUACAAUGGGAACUCCCAGAUCUUUAAUAUGCUAUAAUUAUAGUUGAUGCUCAGGAAUAAGUCACUAAAAUAUCAAAGGCAUAUUCAAUCACUUUCACCAGGCUAUAUUUAGAAGUAAGAAUGUCCCAGUAUAUUGUAUGUCAUUGUAGGUAUAUUUUAGAGAGAAUUUUGAUCAUAGCUACAAAUCAAAUGCAUUUCUUGUAAACUUGUAAUGAGAAAAUUCCAUCUACCAGAUUAGAUUCUGAUGAGCAAUGUUUCAUUGCACUUUCACUAAUAAUCUGUGUGCACUUAGGCAAGUCACUUCACGUCUCUAAUCCACAAUAUUUCGGACAAAUGAAAGGUAAACGAGGAGACAAUGUCUAAGAUGCUUUUUUUUUAAACUCUAAAAUCUAUUCUAUCUCUAUAAAUUCCAAUUCUAUUCUAUCUGUAGAAUUUAAAUUCAAGGCCUCUACUUCCUCUUUCUCCUAUUUGAAAGAUCCUUCCAGUUAUUUUUAUUCUGAUUCUUACUCCCAAACUCUCUCUGCCCCCUAUGGUUUCUCCAUUACCAGCAGAUACUAUUACAUGCUUUCAUGGACAGUGAUUGGUGAAGGAAAUAUUGAUUGCACUUCUCUUUUGCUGCUUUCAGAGACAUAUCUUGGAUGGUUUUAUCACCCUCAUGAACCUUGUCUAGAGAAUGGGUGUAGAGGUUUGAAGAUAGAGGUGCAGAUAAGUAAAACCUGAGUUGGUUUCCUAACACAAGGCUUACAUUUUCCAUCAAUUCAGUCAGUUAAAUACCUAGCAAAUAUAUGAUAGACUAGACAUAGUCCUUGGCCUUAAGAAAUGUAUACACUCUACAAAAAAAGUUGGUGCUGAUUUGGAGUUCCCAUUGUGGAUCAGCAGGUUAAGGACUCGACAUAGUCUCCUUCAGGAUAUGGGUUUGAUCCCUGGCCUUGCUCAGUGGAUUAAGGAGCUGACAUUGCUGCAAGCUGUGGUAUAGGUCACAGAGGUGGCUUGAAUCCAGUAUUGCUGUGGCUAUGGCAUAGGUCGGCAGCUGCAGCUUCGAUUUAACCCCAUAGCCUGGGAACUUCCAUGUGCCACAGGUGUGGUGGCCAUAUAAAGAAAAAAAAAGGUUGGUGCUGAUAUGUCUGAAAUAUUCAAAGAAUUCUUAAUUGCCAAACAGUAUAACCCUAAUAGUAAUUGUGUUAGAAGUUAGAAGUACAUGGAAGGAAGAUUUGGGUUUGGCUUAGUCAGCAGAAUCUAAUGGAGGAAAUUUGACUUACAGAGUGUAUUUAAGGAAGAAUAAUAUGUGUGAUUCUUUGAUGCAUAACUCAUUCAACAAAACACUUACUUAGUGGCUAUGAUGCAUCUUCUCUAAAUGCUGGGAAUACAGCAGUGGGCAAAAUGGGAAAAAACUUUGUCCAUACAGAGCUUUCCUUCUGAUAGAGGUGUGUAAGAGAAAAUAAGUUAAAAAAAUAUAUAUAUUACAUCAAAUGAUGAUAAGAACUAUAGAAUUAAAAGGAUACUUUGGUUAGUAAAGUAGGCAUUGAGAAUGAUCUAAGAAGUGAUAUAAUCAGACCAUUCCAGGCUAACAUUUGUCCUGUAUGUUUAGAGGGGUUAAGUAACAUAACUAAGGUCACCCAGCUUAUUAGCAAGAAAGGAAUAAAACCCAGGCUUAUCAGCUCCUACUCUAGUGUUCUUUUUACUCUUUACAAUCAUGCACACACCUUCUAGAUGGUCAAAUCAUACAGUUCAAGAGGUGGGAGUAAAGAGCUUGUGUGGAACCCAAGGAGG